AUCUAUAAGCUUGUGUAAAGACGGUGAAUAAAAUUAUUGUAUUGAAAAGUAAUCAUUCAUUAUUCAGUUUUGUUUGUAUACCUAUUGAAAAUAAUUUUUUCCAUAAAAUCUACUGAGGAGGUAACCAUUUGAUUAUUGCUGCAUAUAACUAGUAAGUUUUAUGAUAUUGUUCAGUGGUAAAAUGUACUGGAACCUAUUAUUUGAUGCUGCUUUAUUAUUCUGUGUUUGUUUACAUUUAAUAUGUUUUCUAUUGUACAUACAUUAGCACUGUAGGUAUGUAUGAUAUAAGAAGCAUGAGAAUUACUCUUCUGGGAAUUGUAAUAAGAAAGUGAUAUUUGUAGUAUAAGGUUAUACUACUGAUUAACUGUGCACUCUAUUACAUUAUCACAUGAACUCAAGAACAAAUUUGGUGUGCUAUAUUAAUGGGCAGAAUAAUUCAUUCCUUGUACUAAAGUCUUUCUACCCUACUUAAUUCACUCUUGCCAUUUCUGUAUUCUAUUACUAGUGUCCCCACAGUUCAUGCAUGUCUAAUUCAACAUUAUUAAGUUGAGAGAAUGCUUUUGUUAAAUUAAUUAAUAUGUUUCAUUGAUAUAUUACACUGAAAAUAAUUAUUUCAACAUGAUGAUGGUAAAUCAUUGCAUUCUGGUGGCAGCAGUAGUAACUAAAAAGGUAAACAAGAGACAAAAACAGUAUAAGUGGGUAAGAAUAUGGCCACCGGCAAUGUAGUAAGGUAACCUGUAUUUCUGAUCAAGCAAUGAAGAUAACAGUAUUACUAUCUUGGGUCACUAGCCAGCAAUAUAUAAUAUGUGUUUCUCUAAAUUUGUAUAGUAAAACUUUCUGAAUAAUUUCUGUUAUACUAAGAAUUGUCAUGUUCAUAUGUAGAGAGGCAGAUAGAAUGCUAUUUCAGUCAAAAUGUUAAAUGGCAUAUUUAAUGAACACCAAAGAUCAAAAUAAUCAAUGAAGUUAUUUCUCAUAAAAUUCAAGUUAUGACUGAUAUACCAUGAAAUCAAUUACAUAAUGUAUCAGUAGUGGAAUUUCCCCCUAAAAUAUUAAUAAAUUAUUAACUUCUACUGCCUUAAAUUUAUGAACUUCAUACAAAGGUUGCCAUUUUUGUAGUGAAAUGACCACUGACUGUUAUAUUUAAGCUGUGAUGGAGGAGAAGGGAGGAAGCAACACCAUUGUUCUCAGUCUAAGCUAUUUGAAUAUAUUUAAAUCAACUCUAUAAUUAAAUAUGGUCAUCAUCCCUAUAGUAUGGAGUUAAAAUCUGUAUCCAUACAAUAAAGAUUAACUGAAACACAAAAUGAAUGAUUAAAUUACAAAAUAGCACUUAUUCAUGACAGAUUUUUAUAACUUAAAUUCAGCAUGUUUACUUAGUUGUAUGCCACAGAAGAGUUUAAUUUAGUCCUGAGAAAGAUAUGAUAUGUGAAAUAGUAAAUUCUUAGAAAUUAGAUGUAACAUUGUUAAUGCUGUAUUGGCAAGAAUGAAUUCUUCUCAGGCUACGAGCCAUGUAAGGUGGUUUAAUGGAUAAAACACCGACGUUUCAAGAUCCAUCCCCAUCCUCAGUACCCUGAGCAUAAGGACAAAGAUGGUUCUAAGUAUAAUGGAUUCUUCUCAGGCUACCAGUUGUGUCAGGUGGUUGAAUGGAGAAAACACCAACGUUUUGAGAACCAUAUUCGUCCUCGUCCUCAGUGUACUGAGGAUGAGGAUGGUUCUCGAAACGGUGUUUCCUCCAUUAAACCACCUUACACGGCUGGUAGCCCGAGAAUAAUUCAUAUACUUAGUCGCUGUGAAAGCUUCAGAUCAUGCAAUAUAGGCUAUGAUUCCCAGGUGUAUGUGAACUGCGUGUUAAUAUUUCUUUCAGUUAAACAUAUUUUUAUUUAUUCUUCCAUGGCAUGAACAUUAGAUAUAAUUAAAAUUUACAGUGAUUUUCAGUAACUGAAAGACUGUGAGGUUGUUUAUAGCAAUUAUUUUAUUAUGGUACCUCCAUAUCUUGACCCUAAAUAUACAAAUUUAUUUUCAAAUUGCUUAUGUAAAAUUUAUUGAUAUAGCAUAAUGGCAUUUUAAGUGGCAAUUCUGAAUUAAUGAACUCCUUUAUGUUUUAGAUCACGAUAGAAAUGGAAUUAAGUUGUGCAUUAAUUUUGAAUGAGAAUAAUUAUGCAAUUUUUACCUCAGUAAAAAAGUAUUUCUCCUUUUCCAGAUGUUCCUGACAUUAGGAAGUUGCCUCCAUCCCUCUUCCCUUCAACCUGGUACCUUGCAAAAUUACUGCACAUCAUGUUUCCUCUUCAAAUAACAGUUUAUAGGAGACAGCACCCUAUGGACAUAACCCAUUCAUACUCAGCAUGAAGAAAGCCACUGAACCAUUAAAGCACGAGAGGAAUACACAGACAAACGGAUUCCUGUCACUUCAUUUCUUAUUUUGGGGAGACUGAAAACAUAUAUUCCCCUUAAAAUGUGAAAGAAAAUUUGUUCAUGACUAUGGUACUUUUCCUAUAUUAUAGUAGGAGCAAAAAUGGAUAAAUAAUUUUCCCUACUUUUCUGCACUGGGUCCGACGUAGAAUAACUACUACACUUUUAUCAUAAUAUCUUAGAACAAGGAUUGUUUCCUGUGUGAUAGAUGAAGUGCUUUAGGUAGUUCCUGCUGGUUUUUAGAGUAUUAUGAUUCUAACAGGUUAACCUUGAAAUUUACAUUACUGUGUACAAUCUGAUAUGUCAGACAGAAAAAAAUACCUACUGCAGGUAAUGUACCUGCUUUACAUAGUCGUUACAAAUUACAUGAAUCCAAUGAAUAAUAUGCAACUAAAACAUGCAAUGUAUGUCCUCUGAAAGUAUACAUGAACAGAACACCUGUUUCCUUUCUGUGGAUCUUCCAUGGUGUAAACAUUAGAUUAAGAGCAUGUUAUAAAUCCUGAAUAUACAUGAUGAUGGGAAACAGUUUUAUGCAGCUGCAUUUUCUUCAGUGCAUUAUGUAAUGUAAAGUUUUGCUGAAACCCAUGACUUAAUUUAAUUAAAAGGAUACAUGGAUAGAUAAGAAUAUGUGAAAUUAUUGACAGAAGACAUGUUUAAUAUUUGGUUUUUAUACUUAAGUAUGUUUUUUCUAGUCAGAAGCAAGUAACAGAGCCUAGUCAUUUUGUGAAAUAAUGUUUUAUUAGAGUAUACUUGGAACUGCACAUGAAUGCAGUGUAUUUAGUUAAUACAAGUUCCUGAAUUCAUAUUUUUAUAUACAUUUAGUUCAUUGUUCUAAGUUGAUACUUUCAGCAUUGCACUUAAAGCAAAAUACAAUUUACUGCAUUUUGCUUUCACACAAGCUACCAGCUCAUGGCUGGGUUCUGACAGACUGUGAAUAUUCACAACGAUGACUCUAGUCAAUAACUUAUUUCUUUUACUAUCUUCAUUGGUUUGGUUCUCUCUUUACUUAAGAGAAAACACCUUCUUGGAGAUGCUACUGUGGCUGUAGUGGCAUAACUGUAACAUAGAUAAGAACCUCUUAGCUCCAAAUAUUCUAUUUGUCAUAUGUACCUAAGAAAUCACACAUUUUUGACUACAAAAGAACUAGUUUUGAAUCAACUGGCCUUUUAAUUCAUCAAGAUGUUGCCAAAUUUGAUAUGGACAACUCAUCAUUCCCUCUACAUACUUUUAACACUGAUAUUUAUAAAAUAUUAAAUAAUAUUUGACCAAGUCUCAUAAUAAAGACCAAUAAUUACAUAGA